rnacentral:lncRNA from 1 species
GCUUAACUCAAUCAAAAAACGUACAUAAAUAUACUAUAAACGAAUAAAUUUGAUCUGCGAUAUCUGAAUGCAAAUGCACAGUUAAUGAAAUAUUAGGGACAAACAUUCAAGGCCAAAAAACCAAACAAAGCCAUGGCAAGUCACCACUGCGUAAUAUUUAACCCUUCGAAAAUAUUCACUUUAGAAAAAAACCGGUUUUAAAGAAAUACAGGUAAAUAAUGAUGUUUAUACAAAUGUAAUAAGAAGAAGUGAAA